rnacentral:rRNA from 1 species
AACGAACGCUGGCGGCAUGCCUAACACAUGCAAGUCGAACGAGACCUUCGGGUCUAGUGGCGCACGGGUGCGUAACGCGUGGGAACCUGCCCUUAGGUUCGGAAUAACUCCCCGAAAGGGGUGCUAAUACCGGAUAAUGUCUUCGGACCAAAGAUUUAUCGCCUUUGGAUGGGCCCGCGUUGGAUUAGCUAGUUGGUAGGGUAAAAGCCUACCAAGGCGACGAUCCAUAGCUGGUCUGAGAGGAUGAUCAGCCACACUGGGACUGAGACACGGCCCAGACUUCUACGGGAGGCAGCAGUGGGGAAUAUUGGACAAUGGGCGAAAGCCUGAUCCAGCAAUGCCGCGUGAGUGAUGAAGGCCUUAGGGUUGUAAAGCUCUUUUACCCGGGAUGAUAAUGACAGUACCGGGAGAAUAAGCGCCGGCUAACUCCGUG